rnacentral:rRNA from 1 species
UACGUAGGUGGCAAGCGUUGUCCGGAAUUAUUGGGCGUAAAGCGCGCGCAGGCGGUCCUUUAAGUCUGAUGUGAGAGCCCACGGCUCAACCGUGGAGGGUCAUUGGAAACUGGGGGACUUGAGUGCAGAAGAGAAGAGUGGAAUUCCACGUGUAGCGGUGAAAUGCGUAGAGAUGUGGAGGAACACCAGUGGCGAAGGCGACUCUUUGGUCUGUAACUGACGCUGAGGCGCGAAAGCGUGGGGAGCAAACAGG